UACGUAGGGGGCUAGCGUUGUCCGGAUUUAUUGGGCGUAAAGAGCGUGUAGGCGGCCAGGUAGGUCUGCUGUGAAAACUCGAGGCUCAACCUCGAGACGUCGGCGGAAACCAUCUGGCUAGAGUCCGGAAGAGGAGAGUGGAAUUCCUGGUGUAGCGGUGAAAUGCGCAGAUAUCAGGAAGAACACCCGUGGCGAAGGCGGUUCUCUGGAACGCAACUGACGCUGAGACGCGAAAGCGUGGGGAGCAAACAGG
rnacentral:rRNA from 1 species